CGUGCACAUCAAGAUUGUGCCAUGAAAUAAGAGCUCCAGUACCAGAGAGCAUUGUCAUGGUGUCACAGACUCCGUGGAAUGACACAGGAGGUUUUUCUCACCAGCUUCAACGAGAGUUGGACUUGAGCCUUCAAAGCUGUGCAUUCC
rnacentral:lncRNA from 12 species